rnacentral:rRNA from 1 species
UACAGAGGGUGCGAGCGUUAAUCGGAAUUACUGGGCGUAAAGCGCGCGUAGGCGGCUUUGCAAGUCGGGUGUGAAAUCCCCAGGCUUAACCUGGGAACUGCAUUCGAGACUGCAUUGCUAGAGUAUGGGAGAGGGAUGUGGAAUUCCAGGUGUAGCGGUGAAAUGCGUAGAUAUCAGGAAGAACACCAAUGGCGAAGGCAGCUCUCUGGGACGGUACUGACGCUGAGACGCGAAAGCGUGGGGAGCGAACAGG